AGCUGGCGGCAUGCCUAAUAUAUGCAAGUCGUCCGAAUCAAUAGGAGCUUGCUCCUUGAGAUUAGCGGCGGACGGGUGAGUAACACGUGGGCAACCUGCCCUGCAGAUGGGGAUAACUCCGGGAAACCGGGGCUAAUACCGAAUAAUCAAUUCCUUCGCAUGAAGGAAUUCUGAAAGACGGUUUCGGCUGUCACUGCAGGAUGGGCCCGCGGCGCAUUAGCUAGUUGGUGGGGUAAUGGCCUACCAAGGCAACGAUGCGUAGCCGACCUGAGAGGGUGAUCGGCCACACUGGGACUGAGACACGGCCCAGACUCCUACGGGAGGCAGCAGUAGGGAAUCUUCCACAAUGGACGAAAGUCUGAUGGAGCAAUGCCGCGUGAGUGAAGAAGGUUUUCGGAUCGUAAAGCUCUGUUGCGAGGGAAGAACACGUACGGGAGUAACUGCCCGUACCUUGACGGUACCUCGUCAGAAAGCCACGGCUAACUACGUGCCAGCAGCCGCGGUAAUACGUAGGUGGCAAGCGUUGUCCGGAAUUAUUGGGCGUAAAGCGCGCGCAGGCGGUCCUUUAAGUCUGAUGUGAAAGCCCACGGCUCAACCGUGGAGGGUCAUUGGAAACUGGGGGACUUGAGUACAGAAGAGGAAAGCGGAAUUCCACGUGUAGCGGUGAAAUGCGUAGAGAUGUGGAGGAACACCAGUGGCGAAGGCGGCUUUCUGGUCUGUAACUGACGCUGA
rnacentral:rRNA from 1 species